GCGUGGUUGCAAUUGAGCUUCUUUGAGGUCCUGUUCCAUGCCAGAGGCUGAUAAAAAAAAUGUGACCAUUUAGUUACAAAUGGAAAUCUCACAGCAUGUGAAGCAUAGCAACCAAGAGAGUCGCCCCCAACCGAUGAUGAGAAACCAACCUGAACCUCACGUCAAAGGGAAGGCGGAGUUAUCUUUCCAUUCUAUUUAUGAAAAAUUAUUUUCAUAGGAAGCAAUAAUCAAGGGGUAGCAGCCAAGAGAUAUAGAAAAAAUAAGUUUGACAGAGGUAUCCCAGGGAGUAACUAAUCAAAUCUUGUUUUUUUCUUCCAUCUGAUGACGUUUAGUGCACCUAUCAGCUUUUUCAUGUGUGAGCUUUGUGUGUUUUUUUAUCACUUCAAAUAUUUAUUUUCAUAUCUAAUUUGGAUUCAUAAUUUUUUUUUUUGAGACGGAGUCUUGCUCUGUCAUCCAGGCUGGAGUGCAGUGGCACGAUCUCGGCUCACUACAAGCUCCGCCUCCG
rnacentral:lncRNA from 1 species